ACAGUGCAUCAUGGGAUAUGUAGUUGCUAAAAAUACAUUUCCUUUCAUGUGCUGUGU
rnacentral:pre_miRNA from 1 species